GACAGAGGAUGCAAGCGUUAUCCGGAUUCAUUGGGCGUAAAGCGCGCGUAGGCGGCUCGGAAAGUCGGGCGUGAAAUCCCUGGGCUCAACCCAGGAACUGCGUCCGAUACUGGUUGGCUUGAAUCCGGGAGAGGGAUGUGGAAUUCCAGGUGUAGCGGUGAAAUGCGUAGAUAUCUGGAGGAACACCGGUGGCGAAGGCGACAUCCUGGACCGGUAUUGACGCUGAGGCGCGAAAGCCAGGGGAGCAAAGCGGG
rnacentral:rRNA from 1 species